GUUUGCAAUCAGGCAGCAGCAGCAGAGAGAGAAAGCAAAUACAGCACUGUACUGAGAUAACGAACUACUAAAAAAUAAGGGGGAAGUUUAAAAAAGAUUGGACAAGGUUGCCAUUUUGAAGCUGCCACCACAUCUGGCAAUAAGGGAAGGCAGAAGAUGAAGCCCCCUGCCUUGCGGGUUGAGGAAGACCAUCUAUUUGUGAUGAUCUGCAAGAGGGUCUUUGUUUUCUACAGAUUGUGAUGCUGGUUGUGUUGCAGCACAAGGGAGUAAGGGGGGGCAUAGGGAACCCCCUUAGCACGUGCUACCGCAUCACUAGUGGCAGCACAAGACUGUGAGCAGCCUCCAUAUGGCUGCUACUCCUGUGGAUGUGGGCAAGGAAUGGGCCAGCAUGGCUGAACCGUCACACUCGAGCAAGAGCAGAAUGAUGAACCAGGAUCUCUACAUUCCCUGUCUGCUCCUGGAGAAGUGCCACUAUAUGCUGCUAAGUCUGGACAGCGGCCAACCAGUUCCCCAGAGACAAAGGGCAAGCUGAUGCCUCUGCCACGAGUAAACAAGGCUGAUGGACCAUUACCUGCCAAGUGGCCAUUCUUUGGCAGGAAAAGGGGCAGGGGCAAAAAGUUACAUCUUAGCAAAGAAACAGCAUUGAGUUCCCUUCUUCACAGACUGCCUGUCGCCUUGCUCUCAGCUGGAAAUGCUUCUCAAAGGGGGAGGACAGGAUUAUAAAAAGAAGGAGCAGACACCUCUCUCUCCUCUCCUGCCCAUCACAUUCCGUGCAUGUGAAGAGACAAAGGAAGCAGCCAUUGGACUGUGGGAGAGGGACCUGAUCUAAACAGUUUGGUCAGUAAGACUGCUGAAAGCAUGUGGUGAGAAAACUUUGCUUUGAAUUGAAUAUAUUUUGUUAAGUGGGUAUCAGUAAGCAUUUUAUCUUAAUUUUCUUGCAGCCAUUUCUGACCUUUAGGCCUCAUUAUUUGGUCAUGGGCCAAGGUCAUAUUAAUUUAGAAUAAAUCUCUGUAUAUUUUCAUAUCUACUUAUAAGAAUUGCAAUCACAUUCUCAGCAGCGUGGAAUCUGGAAAGCCCACUAGAAGCAUCAGCAAGUCGGCAAGCAGGUGUAUUUUGUACGCAUGCUUUAAUUUAUAUUCAGUAUGAAAAAUCUGUGAUCUAUAUUUAAUGCCUGUGCUUUCAUUUUAUUUAUAGGUUUUUUUUAAUCUAGAAAUUAUUACAAAAAAUUUUGUUCAUACAAGGGUCCAGUGUAUCUGUAUCACAAACACAUACUUUGAAUCUGUAAAUAAAAAUAAAUUGGGCAAUCUGACACUGAGAUCUUGGGCAAAAGAACAGUAAACCAGGUUCAGAGGCAGGUCUAGAGACUGUUUAUGUAAACAGAGUCAGGAUGGGCUCUGCUCUGACAUCUGGUGGUGAAUUGUGGGGAGUGUGGAAGGGAAUUUCAGGUAUUUGCAUUGGCACGCCCACCCCAUCUGGCGUGGCCCACGGCAGCCUGGGAUGGUUGUUUUGACAGCUCUGGGAUCCCAAGUUUCUUUGUUGUUGGGGCGGGAGGAGUGGAGUGUUGUCGCCCUGGUUGUGUGGAUGAGGAACUGUGGGACUGCUUUGUGACAGAGAUGUCUCACCAUCAAGUGGGUGGCGCUUGCUAGACAAGGGACAUGGGUGCCAAAACGCAGUGAAUGGAGAGAGGUUGGGGAUUGGUGUGUGUACCUGAUGGUAUGGGCCCCUU